rnacentral:lncRNA from 1 species
UUUUGCAUCACUGGCUUCUGAUAAACUAAGGCCGCUCUGCCUGUUAACACCCUCUUCAAGCCCAGGACCUCAUCUAUCCCAGCCAGAUACGUCCUGAUGCACACUUGUGUAAAUAUCUGCAUAUGUAGAGACUGUGGUGUCAAGAGCCCUGUUUCUCAUUUUGUUAUUUAUUUUUUUAGCUUUUGAACUAAUAUAGAGUGCAGUCG